GGAGCCCAGAGCCUGAAUCAGCAUGUGUGUUAGUGGAAGCGUCUGGAAAGGCGCGCGAUACAGGGUGACAGCCCCGUACACAAAAGCGCAUGUGCUGUGAGCUCGAUGAGUAGGGCGGGACACGUGGUAUCCUGUCUGAAUAUGGGGGGACCAUCCUCCAAGGCUAAAUACUCCUGACUGACCGAUAGUGAACCAGUACCGUGAGGGAAAGGCGAAAAGAACCCCGGCGAGGGGAGUGAAAAAGAACCUGAAACCGUGUACGUACAAGCAGUGGGAGCCC
rnacentral:rRNA from 1 species